UACGUAGGGGGCGAGCGUUGUCCGGAUUUAUUGGGCGUAAAGAGCUCGUAGGCGGUUCGAUAAGUCGGACGUGAAAUCUCCACGCUCAACGUGGAGGGGCCGUUCGAUACUGUCGUGACUCGAGUCCGGUAGGGGAGCGUGGAAUUCUCGGUGUAGCGGUGAAAUGCGUAGAUAUCGAGAGGAACACCUGCGGCGAAGGCGGGUUGCUGGGCUGACACUGACGCUGAAGCGCGAAAGCUAGGGGAGCGAACGGG
rnacentral:rRNA from 1 species